rnacentral:rRNA from 1 species
GAUGAACGCUAGCGGCAGGCUUAACACAUGCAAGUCGAGGGGUAUAGUAGCAAUACUAGAGACCGGCGCACGGGUGCGUAACGCGUAUGCAAUCUACCUUUCACAGAGGGAUAGCCCGGAGAAAUUUUGGAUUAAUACCUCAUAGUAUGUAUGAAUGGCAUCAUUUAUAUAUUAAAGUCACAACGGUGAAAGAUGAGCAUGCGUCCCAUUAGCUUGUUGGUAAGGUAACGGCUUACCAAGGCAACGAUGGGUAGGGGUCCUGAGAGGGAGAUCCCCCACACUGGUACUGAGACACGGACCAGACUUCCUACGGGAGGCAGCAGUUGAGGAAUAUUGGA